rnacentral:rRNA from 1 species
UACGUAGGGUGCAAGCGUUAAUCGGAAUUACUGGGCGUAAAGCGUGCGCAGGCGGUGAUGUAAGACAGGUGUGAAAUCCCCGGGCUUAACCUGGGAACUGCAUUGGUGACUGGCAGGCUUUGAGUGUGGCAGAGGGAGGUAGAAUUCCACGUGUAGCAGUGAAAUGCGUAGAGAUGUGGAGGGAUACCGAUGGCGGAAGGCAGCCUCCUGGGCCAACACUGACGCUCAUGCACGAAAGCGUGGGGAGCAAACAGG